rnacentral:lncRNA from 1 species
CGACUUCGUGUGCUCCACGCGAGGGCCGCCUGACGCCAGAGUUUCUCCCGCAUCUGCCAUCAGAGGACCGUCGCCCUCAGGAGCCCGAGCUCCCGCGGCUUCUCCGAAAUUGGAGUUCCAGAAGCCAUCCUUGGAUAACAUCUCUAUAAUCUCCUGGGAGAAUCCUUCUUCGAAGAAAUCCUCCAUCAGAGGAGAGUUCUUGGUCUCAGUCACAUCUGAAAGAGCAAGUGCAAAUGUCUCCUGUUCACUAAGGCUCCCAGGACAAGGGGAUGGAAGCCAGCGAGAAGCAGAGUGAAGUCCUGAAGCUGAGCGUUGUAAUGUCUCGGUAGACCUGUGGGAAAGCUGGCUGCAGCCUCAGGAUGGAGGUCUGGAAGACAGAAGGACAUGGAGGACCAUCCAGACACUCAGUGAGAACCUCCUGGCUCUCCUGACUUUUCUAUGCUUUAUCCUGCACGUGGCUCCUGUGUGUGGACGAGGUGCUGCACUGGGCGACUCUGGGGAUGCCUGUCCUGUAGGGUUCCCAGUCCAGUGAUGGAGAGGGAGCCAAACAAUCACAAUCCAGGGUGAUCAAAGCUGUGACAGCUGGGGCUGGGGAUACAAAGGACUUGUGACAGCUCUUUAAUGGGCAGGAUCUGCCAGGUGGAGAGGCACGUACUUCCUUAGCCAUUCAUGAUUUAUUCACUGACCCAUGGGCCACACAUUGCCUGAGGCCUCCAUGGGCCAGGGACAGAAAAUGUCAGGGUCCCAGAGCCCAAGCAGUCCUGAGCCAUACCCUCCACAAGCUUCCCCAAGGAAGGGAACAGAGUCACCAUCCAGGAGGGAUACAGGCCACAGCGGAGAAAACGCCACUGCUGUCUUUGAAGACUGAGAAGCCAUGAGUCAAGCAAUACAGGUGACCUCCAGAAGCUGGCAACGGGCCAGGAAGGACUAUCUACGUGCUGGAGCCUCCAGAAGGAACAUGGUGGCCCUGCCAACACCUCGCCUCCAGCCCAGCCACAUGCAUUUGGAACUCCUGGCCUCCAGGACUGUAACAUAAUAAAAGUGUGCUGGUGGAAGCCACUGUGUUUGUGGUAUGUGUAACAGCAGCAAUAGGAAACGGAUACACUACUCAUACAUUCACACAAAUGGGUGAAGGGGCAGUCGAGGUAAACACACUUCUUACUGUGGGCUGUAGUUUAAAAAUUCAAAAAGACACUGAGGUAGGACCUCCCACGAGAUGCUUCUUAGCACACACUGGCCAGUCUGGAGAAAGUCUGCCCCAAUGUGAUGAGAUUCUAUCAAAUGAUAGUUUCCACCGUGUGUUAUCUUUUACUUCUUUCAUCUUUUGGAGUAAAUUAUUUUUCUGGUUCUUCAAAAAGAAAGAACUGAGGCAACAGAGAGGGAAAAUGAGUUAAUCAGGUGACACUGAUGGGGAGCUGGGGUGAUAUGGCCUUGGAGCUGCACAGACCUUAGCUGGAGUCUGGGCCCUGCUGCUGUCUCACUGUGUGACACUGGUGUGCAGAAGAGGGCGACACAGCAGGCUGGCUGCUCUCCUGGGAAAAGCCUGCUGGCAAGGCUGGAUUUCAGGGGGGUACCCCGUGUCUCCAGAACUGAAGAGACACGCUCCCUGGACCUAAACUGUGCAAACACGGUGGCUUACACCUGCUUUCCUUCUGGGGGGCUGGAAUUUUGGAAUGUGCCAGGCAGAGGAGCCCACAUGACCAGCCCCCAGUAAAAACCCUGGCACUGAGUCUCUGAUGAGCUUCCCUGGUGGACAGCAUUUCACACGCGAUAUCACAUUCUACAGUAUUGCUGGGGGAAUUAAGCAUGUCCCAUGUGACUCCCCUGAGAGAAUUCUGGAAGCUUGUGCCUGGCUUCCUUGGACUUUGCCCCAUGUACCUCCUCCCUUUGCUGACUGUGCUCUGAAUCUUUUCACUGUAGUAAGUCAUAGCCAUGAGUCUGACUACAGGAUGAGUCCUGGGAAUCCUAGCCAAUCACUGAAUCUGUGGGUGCUCCUGGGGACACUGACACAGCUGGGAAGGUGACUGCCACUCUUUUAACCUCAGUUUCAGACCAAUCGGCAAAAGAGGGACAACCCAGCUUCUUCAUGGGGUGACUGGAGGAUUGAACAAGCAAGUCCUAAGAGCUGCUACUCAAUCAUUCAUUAGUUUAGAGCUGUCUGCUGGGCCCUAGAGCAGGUACUGUUCGUUCCAAACACUGGGGACACGCCCUGUCCUCACACAGCUCCCGCUCUGAAUGAUACAAUGGUAGUUAGAACGUGAGGGAGCGACAGACAAGAUGAGUAGGAGAGGAGGUAUGGAGUUCUAACAGGGUCCCAGGUUAAACUUUAAAAAUGUAAGCCCUGAGAGCCGCUUAGGCAGAGGGGAGGGCAACUGGAAGACUUUGAAGUAUCAGCUUGAAGAAUGACUGACUACAAGUAGGAAAGUGGUGAAGACAAGGCUGGGGAGGCAGAUAGGGGCCAGAGCAGGGUUUCCCAGGCUUAGCACUACUGACACUGGCGUGGGCCAAUCCUUGGUUGUGGGGCUGUGCUGUGCACUGUAGGAUGUGUGGCAGCCUCCCUUGGUUCCACCAGCUAGAUGCUAGCGGCACGCUGCGCUGGCCCAAGGAGUAACAAUCAAAAAUGUCUCCACACAUUGCCAAUGUCUCCUCGGCCAGCUGAGAACUGCUGGGCUAGGUCAUGCUGAUUCUGAGGAGCCCAGGAGCCAGGACUUCACCCUGUGGGUGGUAGAGAGCAUGGGUGAUCACCAAGCAGGGCAGUGAGUAGGCCCCUGGGGACAGGCAACACUCACCCAGCAGGAAGAGGUCCUGGCAAUUGUCCAACGCUGUGUCCCAGAACGUGUCCCCCUGUUCCAGCCCGAGCUGCUCCCAGUCUCCCAAGGUGAAGUCCAUGCCGACAUCCUUGAGGGUCACAAAUUCCUGAAACACAGUACACUAUUGGUCACUCAGAGGCUGGGGUCAGGGAGGAGCCCAACAGCUCACUCAGGGCACUCCCAGCCCUCAAUCUGCCAGGGCUUUGGCAAAAACCAUCCCAUCCUCAGCCUCACAAGAAUCUUGAGAUGUAAGAGACUGGAAACCCCUGUAUUUUGUAGGCAAAGAAAAGGACCUUGACUUUGACCAGGGGACAGGAUGUCAACCGAAGUUAACACAGGUGGGACUGAACCCAGGUCUGCCUGAUCCUAAAAAUCUAUUUUACGCUUUUGCUUUAAGUGUUCAUUCAAGACUUAUUUUGUAAACUUUCAAACAUACAUACAAGUAGAGAUGUAUAUAAUUAACACCCAUGAACUCAUCACCCAGGGGUCAUCUGAUUUCACCUGUGAAUACUUCAGUAUGAACAGUAACUCCUUAAUCACUGAACACCUAGACCACAUUCAAAAUCUGUAUACAGAUUAGUCUGACAUCUCAGUGGUGUGUCUUUAUAGCUAGCUCGUCUCAAUCAGAAUCCAGGGGGCCCAUACCCUGUAACUGAUGUG